rnacentral:rRNA from 1 species
UACGGAGGGAGCAAGCGUUACUCGGAAUUACUGGGCGUAAAGGGCGCGUAGGCGUUCUAUCAAGUCUUGUGUGAAAGCCCCAAGCCUAACUUGGGAAGUGCACAAGAAACUGGAAGAAUAGAGUUCCGGAGAGGAAGAUGGAAUUCCCGGUGUAGCGGUGAAAUGCGUAGAUAUCUGGAGGAACACCGGUGGCGAAGGCGGCAUCCUGGACCGGUAUUGACGCUGAGGCGCGAAAGCUAGGGGAGCAAACGGGG